GACGAACGCUGGCGGCGUGCUUAACACAUGCAAGUCGAACGGAAAGGCCCUGCUUUUGUGGGGUGCUCGAGUGGCGAACGGGUGAGUAACACGUGAGUAACCUGCCCUUGACUUUGGGAUAACUUCAGGAAACUGGGGCUAAUACCGGAUAGGAGCUCCUGCUGCAUGGUGGGGGUUGGAAAGUUUCGGCGGUUGGGGAUGGACUCGCGGCUUAUCAGCUUGUUGGUGGGGUAGUGGCUUACCAAGGCUUUGACGGGUAGCCGGCCUGAGAGGGUGACCGGCCACAUUGGGACUGAGAUACGGCCCAGACUCCUACGGGAGGCAGCAGUGGGGAAUAUUGCACAAUGGGCGGAAGCCUGAUGCAGCAACGCCGCGUGCUGGAUGACGGCCUUCGGGUUGUAAACCGCUUUCGCCUGUGACGAAGCGUGAGUGACGGUAAUGUGUAAAGAAGCACCGGCUAACUACGUG
rnacentral:rRNA from 1 species